GGUCACUGCUGGUCACUGCUGGUCACUGCUGGUCAUUACUGGUCACUGCUGGUCACUGCUGGUCAUUACUGGUCACUGCUGGUCACUGCAUGGCUGCUUUCUGCGGAGCACGGUGGCACUGGCCGGGGGCACCAGAGGAGAUUUAUGAACCGCUGCUGCAGCAAACCUGGAGCAGGAGCAAGGCUGCAGCUCAAGGGAGGAAGGGUGGGAAACUCAGUCCAGGGAGUGAGAGGAAACAGUGGCAGAGGAGUAUCCUCUGGCAGGAACGGUGUUUCCUGCUGCACAGAUUUGUUACAGACGCUGCUUCCAUGUAGAUGAGCUGACAUUUUGUGUCUUGUGUUGGUGAGGAUCCAGGAAACUUUGUACCUCGUUUAAGGGGGUGUUUCCUCCUUUCUGCCCGGGCUCCCCAAUCCCCGACCAGCGGUGCUGGAGGCUGUGGUGCCCCACAGCAGCCAAGGGACAGGCUGCAGGUGCUGCUCCAGGACAGAGCUGGGAGGUGUCAGCUGAGCAGAGGAUGCUGUUAGACUCUGGCACCCACUCCUCGGUCUCCAGUGGAGAAUUGCAGCCUGAGCACACAAAACCUCUUCAAGUAAAUUAGUAACAGAAAUGAGACUUAGAAUGGGUGGCUAAUGGAGGGUCGAAGAGCGUGUUUGGUCUGUGUGUGGUCCUUGUCCUACCUUUGCAUCUUCAGAGACCGAACUUGAAAGGAUCAUGGCUGGGCUCUGGGAAGAGUCUGCCACGUGGAGUCCUCCAAACCUCCCUUCACUUGGUCUCCUCUAGGACUUCUGCCUCCUUCAGGAAUCAAAAUCUGACUCACUUUCCAUUAUGUCUCGUCAAAUCUUGGACUACUUAGAAACAUAUCAAAAAUUAAAAUAAUCUCUUUUGACAACAUCGAAGCCUGUGGUGUUUGAAUCUUUGAUAUGAAGAUUUCUCCUGCUUGGAGAACAGCUCAUUUUUAAUGCUGUGAAAUAGAGCAUGAUAACUGUGCUGCUGUCUGUACUACAGUGAGCAUUAUGUGCUGCUUAAUAAAAUGGUGCUCCUGUCCAA